rnacentral:rRNA from 1 species
CACGUAGGCGGAUCGUUAAGUGAGGGGUGAAAUCCCGGGGCUCAACCCCGGAACUGCCUUUCAUACUGGCGAUCUGGAGUUCGAGAGAGGUGAGUGGAAUUCCGAGUGUAGAGGUGAAAUUCGUAGAUAUUCGGAGAAACACCAGUGGCGAAGGCGGCUCACUGGCUCGAUACUGACGCUGAGGUGCGAAAGCGUGGGGAGCAAACA